UCCGAGUUGACCCCGGCAGUCUCCUACGAGUCCCCGGCAUAACCCGCUGGCAACAUAGGACAAGGGUUGCGCUCGUUGCGGGACUUAACCCAACAUCUCACGACACGAGCUGACGACAGCCAUGCACCACCUGUAUACCGACCACAAGGGGGGCCGUAUCUCUACGGCUUUCCGGUAUAUGUCAAACCCAGGUAAGGUGGGGAUGACGUCUAGGAGCUCGAC
rnacentral:misc_RNA from 1 species